GGAGGAGGCUCUCAUCCUUAAUCCUCUGCCCAGGCUCUAGGAGGAGGCUUUGGCUAGCGUCCCUUUCCGAGUGGCCAGCUCCAAUUUCUGUGCAUCCCACGUGCGAGAAAAGCCACAAUCCGUAUGAAACAGGCUGUUCCUGAGCCUCCUAACCUAAACCCUACUAACUUAGUGGAGCAUAGCCCGGUGGUGCCAGAUGACUGAAGCAAAAAUAGACAAGAAGAAAAGAAGGGAGCUGGAAAAGAAAGAAAAGCCAAACACCUGAUAACAAUACACAUUUGGUCCAGCUAUCAUCAGCAACUAAAAGCUAGGGGAAAUACGCAGAAGAUGGUAAUGAUUUCGGCAAAGUUUGCAGGACCAGAAAGACAAUAGAAA